rnacentral:rRNA from 1 species
UGGGGAAUAUUGCACAAUGGGCGCAAGCCUGAUGCAGCCAUGCCGCGUGUAUGAAGAAGGCCUUCGGGUUGUAAAGUACUUUCAGUCGGGAGGAAGGUGGUAAGGUUAAUAACCUUAUCAAUUGACGUUACCGACAGAAGAAGCACCGGCUAACUCCGUGCCAGCAGCCGCGGUAAUACGGAGGGUGCAAGCGUUAAUCGGAAUUACUGGGCGUAAAGCGCACGCAGGCGGUUGAUUGAGUCAGAUGUGAAAUCCCCGGGCUUAACCCGGGAAUUACAUCUGAUACUGGUCAGCUAGAGUCUUGUAGAGGGGGGUAGAAUUCCAUGUGUAGCGGUGAAAUGCGUAGAGAUGUGGAGGAAUACCGGUGGCGAAGGCGGCCCCCUGGACAAAGACUGACGCUCAGGUGCGAAAGCGUGGGGAGCAAACAGG